AGGAAAUUGCAUCUUUCAAUUCCCAUCUUUGGAACAAGUAACUGUUGUUAAAUGCCCCAACUUGAGGAUUUUCAGUCCUGGUGUGUUAAGCGCGCCGAAGCUACAGAGUGUAGAAGUGGCGUGGAGAGAAUUUCAUUGGGAAAGAGAUCUCAAUGCCACCAUUGAACAUUUGUAUGAGAAAGCGAUUGGAAUUGAACGCAUCAGUCAUGUGAAACUCUCCAACUUUCCGAUGUUAAAAGAAAAUUGGAAUUGUCAAUUUCCAUUCAAGCGCUUGGAGUAUUUAAAAAGCUUGGUGGUAGACGAGUGUGCAUUUUUCUCAAAUGCCAUAUCAUCAAAUCUACUGAAGCACGCGAGGUACUUUUUGAAAGAGCUGGCUGUAGAAAAAUGUGAUUCAGUUGAAGAGUUGUUUGAUUUAGAAGGGCUAAAUGCCGAUGAAGGUCAUCUUCGGCUAAUGAGUGAUUUAAAUGAAUUGCGGUUAAUUGAUUUGCCUAGGUUGAGGCACGUGUGGAACAAGGAUCCUCAAGGAUUUUUGAGCUUUAAAAACCUAAAAUUGCUGCAAGUUCAUAAUUGCAGCAACUUGGCUAAUAUAUUUACUCUGUCCAUGG
rnacentral:misc_RNA from 1 species